AAGACUAUACUUUCAGGGAUCAUUUCUAUAGUGUGUAACUGAGAAAUGCGUUUCGAAAGUGUUUGGUCUCGCUACCCACGAUGAUGAGGUAUAAUGCAUCCCCUUCUGAACGCGAAGCGGAUAGAGAAUAUUGAUUUAUCAACCGUUUUCUAUCAUUGAUGACCGUUCCGCUUCUGCGAAGAAUGUGGAAGAAGGGGCUGCGUUCAGAGUGGU